AUUGAACGCUGGCGGCAUGCUUUACACAUGCAAGUCGAACGGCAGCACGGGUGCUUGCACCUGGUGGCGAGUGGCGGACGGGUGAGUAAUACAUCGGAACGUAUCCAGAAGAGGGGGAUAACGCAUCGAAAGACGUGCUAAUACCGCAUAUUCUCUGAGGAGGAAAGCAGGGGCUCGCAAGACCUUGCGCUUUUGGAGCGGCCGAUGUCUGAUUAGCUAGUUGGUGAGGUAAAGGCUCACCAAGGCGACGAUCUGUAGCGGGUCUGAGAGGAUGAUCCGCCACACUGGAACUGAGACACGGUCCAGACUCCUACGGGAGGCAGCAGUGGGGAAUUUUGGACAAUGGGCGCAAGCCUGAUCCAGCCAUGCCGCGUGAGUGAAGAAGGCCUCGGUU
rnacentral:rRNA from 1 species